GUUGACGUUAUUGCUUUUGAUGGCGUCUCGACAGGCAGAGAUCACUUGGUUCUUGGGUUUACCCACUGAAGAGAGAGAUGAAUAAACGUACAGUUGGAUAAUUCACAAUGAGCAGAGUGCCAGGGUUCCCACUCUUUCCCCGAAAUGAUUUUCCAGGACUUUUCCAGGACAUUUCCAGUCGGUACAGACACACGUUAUCAGAUGUCCUGACAUCCUACCCUUUGCGGUCGGUCAUUGAUGCUAAAUGUGACCCUUCCAUUGGGCAGAGCAGCUGAGGAGUCAACCGUGAUGUCAUACAUGGAGAAACGAGGCAGCUGACGAGUGAUUUCAAACACGUGGAACUGGGUGCUGGAAAGAGGAAAAACAGAAAGCGCAGAGAUGAGCAGCAGAAGAGCCAGAAGACAGAAUAGCAAUGUUAUCGUAAAUGUAUGGGGUGGAAACUGCAAUGACUAUAAUCUUGACAAUGCAGCAUGAUUUCACUGACUGUUAUGACAGUUAUCUUUCUCACACAUAUCCUACCUAGUUUUCCCUCCAACAAAAGCUUUGAUGUGGAGAUCCACCGGUAUAUCUUUCGGGGGAACGAUGGGGACUCGGAUACAUCCUGACAGGUUCUGGGCACUGGGGUGGACAACGUGGCUUUCCCCCUCAAAUAUUCCCUCUGCAAAGAUGAGCACUGCACGGAUAAUGGUUUCUGGAAAGGACAAAGAAAAGAAUCGGGCACUUAUUAGUGAAUGCUCAAUCAGAUCGUAACUUAUCUAUAUUUGACAGGCUUAAAAUUCUCAGCUCAGAUGCGAAAAAAAUUCUACCAUUUGGUGUUGAAAUGCUGAGCUCCACAUGAGCCUUCUGGGUUUCUGUGGCAGGUUUCACCGACAGCGCUGUCUGGAGCUGAGUGUUGGCUGGUAUGACACCCACCCCGCUGUUGGUCUCUGACACACCCUGAAUUAAAUAUGACAGUUUGUGUGAACGCUGGCAUGAAAGAGCGUACGGAUCAUUGAUGAAUCCUGCAACUAUCUACAAUACAUGAAAUCUGAUAUUUCUCAAACACAAAAGGAUUUAAAGAAAUUGCAUUAAUGAAACCAGUAAUUAAAACUAAAAUAACAAACAUAUUCAACAUAGCUGAGCUGAAGUGCUAUAGAAAAGAAAAAUGGAAAAACCUGCAGCCACAUAGGAAUAAAAUGGAAGGACAUUACAUUAGACGGACAGAUUUUGAAAUUUCUUUGGCCCUAUAGCAUGUUAUGGUUUAUUUGUUCUAAAAUUAUGGGUAAUGAAGGUUUGAACUCUGGCUGACUUGAUUGUUUACCUUUUUAAAUUAGUAAAUAAAUGAUAAGCUAUGUGGUUUGUUAAAAACUGCGGAAAAUAUUCACAAAAAUGUAAUACUACAACUGCAUGUCUCAAAAUGAUAUAAAAAGUUCAACUGAACCAGUGAGUGACAAAAUAAAUAGAAGCUCUCUCUAAAGCAUCUUAUGGACAUCUUGAAUUUAAACUAAAAGGUUAUUAAGUGUAAUCUUCCAGAGACUAUGAUUAUCCAUAACAAAUUUCAUCACGCACACAUAACAAGAACUCCAAGGUAAGAGGUAAAUCUACACUCAAGGCAUAAAAGCCUCCUGAUCCGAUCAGUCUUUCAGGAUGAAUACGUAUGUGCACCUUGGCAUUCUCCUCAUAGUUGCGGAGCUCAAGCAGCAGAUUCUGCCUGCGCUGGCUGAGCUCUCGAACAAGAUCCUGUUCAGCACUGGAGUCCAUGAGAUUCCCUUUCAUGUCCUUACUGGCUGGCAGGUAACCACGAACUAAGGAGACACACACACAUUGAAAAGCAAUGAAAACAGCCUAUUCUAUGUUGAAGAGUUCUAAGCUGAUUCUUCUAAAUUAUGGACACAAGUUUAUUAAACUUUUACCCAAGAAUGAA